rnacentral:lncRNA from 1 species
CAUCACCUACGACCAUUGACCAGACCCGCCAUAGCGGAUCCAUCCUCCCACCCAUGUAGUCGAGAUCAAGACCCGCUACGAUAAAAGCCACCUCAACGGAUCCAUCCUCCUGCUUAUGUGGUCGAGCCAAAACCCACAGCCGAUCCAUCCUCCCGUUUAUGCUAUCGAGCUAAAGCCCAUCACAGUGGGUUCAGCCUCCCACUUAUGCGGUCGAGCCAA